UACAGAGGGUGCGAGCGUUGUUCGGAAUUAUUGGGCGUAAAGCGCUUGUAGGCGGCUUGUUAAGUCGCGUGUGAAAUCCCCAGGCUUAACCUGGGAAGUGCGCGCGAAACUGGCGAGCUUGAAUGCCGGAGAGGGUCGCGGAAUUCCCGGUGUAGAGGUGAAAUUCGUAGAUAUCGGGAGGAACACCAGUGGCGAAGGCGGCGACCUGGGUCGAUACUGACGCUGAGGUGCGAAAGCGUGGGGAGCAAACAGG
rnacentral:rRNA from 1 species